UACGGGGGGGGCAAGCGUUGUUCGGAAUUACUGGGCGUAAAGGGCUCGUAGGUGGCCAACUAAGUCAGACGUGAAAUCCCUCGGCUUAAUCGGGGAACUGCGUCUGAUACUGGAUGGCUUGAGUUCGGGAGAGGGAUGCGGAAUUCCAGGUGUAGCGGUGAAAUGCGUAGAUAUCUGGAGGAACACCGGUGGCGAAGGCGGCAUCCUGGACCGACACUGACACUGAGGAGCGAAAGCCAGGGGAGCAAACGGG
rnacentral:rRNA from 1 species